CAAAUCACAAGUCAACGAUGGAAGCCGCCUCUGCAACUUUCCACUCAUACAUAUUCAUUUCAAUGGCUUCGCUUCCAUUUAAGACUUCCACUCGACCAUUUUCCGCACCUUAUAUUCUUCCCCAUUUCAAUUUCUUCCUCUGAUUUCCCAAAAUGAAACCCUACAAUUUCUCCUUUGCGAUUCCCUUCCUUCUAAUCCUCUCCUUGUUUCAUCUUCUAAUCCAAUCUUCGGCUGAUCCCAGAGCUACUGAAGCGGCUCUCAUAUGUUCCAACAACACCGCUUCGCCCCCGGAGCGAUCGACCUUCGUGGCGAAUUUCUUGGACUCCAUGGAUGCGGUUACUCCUCUUAUUUCUUCACAGCGAUUUGCAGCCGUUGUGAAUGGGACUGGAAAUACGACUGUUUAUGCUUUUGGGGAGUGUAUGAACGAUCUUACUCAAUCGGAUUGUGAUCUUUGUUUUGCACAGAUGAAAACUCAGAUCCUUCGGUGUCUCCCCUUUCAGCUUGCUACUCGAGGGGGCAGAUUAUUCUAUGAUGGGUGUUAUAUUAGGUAUGAUUAUUAUAAUUUCUUCAAUGAAUCUUUGAGUGGUGUGGAUAGAAAUAUAUGUGGGAAAUUGGAUUACAGUGGGAAUAGGACUAUUUUUAGUGAUAAUGCGAUGAAAUUGGCGAGGAAUUUGAGUGUAGUGGCGCCCAAGAACAAUGGGUUUGCUGUAGGAUUGGUGGAUUUUGGAAAUGUGUCCGUUUAUGGAUCGGGUCAGUGUUGGAAAUUUGUGAAAGGGGGUUCUUGUUCCAAGUGUUUGGUUGAUGCAGCUAAGGAAAUUGGUUCUUGUCCUCCAAAAACUGAAGGAAGGGUCUUGAAUGCUGGCUGUUACUUCAGAUAUUCAACUGAACGAUUUUAUUUCAAUAGCACAGCAACUGCCGCUGGAGGAAACGGAAGUCGCCGUCUGGCAAUAAUUUUGGCCUCAAUAUCUGCUGCUGUGGCUACUGCAUUGAUUAUUUCAACGGUUGUUUUCUGUGCCAGGAGGAGAGUAGUGAGGAAACGCAAAGAGAAAAAGCAACUCGGUCCUCUUGUGGCUAUUGUUAACAAGUCCAAGCUUAAUUUUUCAUAUGAGACUCUUGAGAGGGCCACAAAUUACUUUGACCAAUCCAAUAAACUCGGACAAGGAGGUUCUGGUUCAGUUUAUAAAGGAACUCUAUCAGAUGGCAGGGUUGUAGCAAUCAAGAGGCUUUUCUUCAAUACUAGACAAUGGGUUGACCAUUUCUUUAAUGAAGUAAAUCUUAUUAGUGGCAUCCGACACAAAAAUCUUGUAGGGCUACUGGGAUGCAGUAUUACAGGCCCUGAAAGCCUCCUUGUUUAUGAAUAUGUGCCAAAUCAGAGCUUGCACGAUUACCUGUUUGGUAACAAGAAUGUUCAGCCACUGAGUUGGGAGUCCAGGUUUAAGAUUGUCUUAGGUACAGCUGAAGGCUUGGCUUAUCUUCAUGAGGAGUCAAAUGUGAAAAUCAUUCAUCGCGACAUAAAAUUAAGCAAUAUUCUGUUGGAUAAUGAUUUUACUCCAAAGAUCGCUGAUUUUGGACUUGCUAGACUGCUUCCUGAAGAUAAGACACACAUUAGCACUGCUAUUGCUGGCACACUAGGUUACAUGGCUCCAGAAUAUGUAGUGCGUGGUAAGUUGUCAGAAAAGGCUGACGUUUACAGUUUUGGAGUUUUCGCCAUUGAAGUCAUCACUGGAAGGAGGAAUAAUCACUUCUUUCAAGAUUCAACGUCCAUCUUACAAAAGGUAUGGAAUUUGUAUGGAGAGGGAAGGCUAUAUGCAGUGGUUGAUCCAAUCCUUGCCGGUGAUCAUCCACGAGACAAAGCAUCUCAGUUGCUUCAAAUAGGUCUAGUUUGCGUUCAAGCCUAUGCUGACCUAAGGCCAUCCAUGUCGAUGGUUGUGAAAAUGCUUACAGCAAAUUAUGAGAUUCCCCAGCCAAAACAACCUCCAUAUCUUCAUCCUUCAAGUGGAAACAUGAAACCCCAAAAUUCUUCAGACUCGUCCAAUCCCAACUUGUAUUAUAACUCGCGAUCUUCGCAAAACAGCAUGACCCAAAGCAUCAUCGACCCUAGAUGAGUCGUGUUCUUGAGCAAUCAUUUCGGAUAUUGUAUAUAACAUACUAUUUUAAAUCCCAAAUACAGGUGUCGGCUAACAGCAUCAGUCACAUCCCUCGUCGAGCACACCAUCAAAAAUAAGAAACAUGACACUCUAAUCUGAUCUGGUUCAUGCACCACAUGGAGGUUUUCAGCAACAAUUUACGACCUGAGUAUGUGAGAAACUAUAGCCAAUCAAGUUCUAAAAUAUACUUAGCUUCUGUGAAUGACACUCGAGAGAGUUUGAUAUACAUGAAGGGAAAGCAAACAAAAGCUCACAUUAGAAGAAACAAUAUUGGGAAUAUACAUCUUGAGAUCGUUAAAGUGUUUCAGUCUUCUCUGAAGAAUCUACCAGAAGAAAGCCCAUCCAUUCCUUCAAAUUGCAUA